ensembl:misc_RNA Metazoa_SRP Metazoan signal recognition particle RNA
GCUGGGCACGGUGGUACAUGCCUGCAGUCCCAGCUACUUGGGAGGCUGAGGCUGGAAGAUCGCUUGAGUCCAGGAGUUCUGGGCUGCAGUGCGCUAUGCUGAUCCAGUGUCUGACUGACGUUCGGCACCAAUAUAGUGAACUUCUAGGAGCAGGGGACCACCAAGAUGCCUAAGGAGGGGUGAACUGGCCUAGAUCGGAAAUGGAAAAGGUCAAAAUUCCUAUGCUGAUCAGUAGUGGGAUCACACCUGUGGAUAGCCACUGCACUCCAGCCUGGGCAACACAGCAAGACCCUGUCUCAA